GAUGUUUUUAUCCUCAGUGUUUUCAACACUUUAAAUAACCAAGUUUAUAAAGUUAUGUGAUUGACACCUUGUAAUUGGUCAUCCACAACUCAUAACUGCAGCAAGAUGGCAGAUAAUCAGCAUGAGAGAAGCAGGUAGGUCGUUGUGACAAUUGCACGUAUUGUUGGUCAUCACCAUUCCACUAUAAGUCGUUUUGAAAAUAAAAAUCAGACAACAAACGAUGUUAAAGACAUUCCGAGAUCAAGAAGACCCCCG
rnacentral:lncRNA from 1 species